rnacentral:rRNA from 1 species
GACGAACGCUGGCGGCGUGCUUAACACAUGCAAGUCGAACGAAGUGGCGAACGGGUGAGUAACGCGUAAUCAACCUGCCCUGCAGAGGGGGACAACAGUUGGACACGACUGCUACUACCGCAUACUUAAGGAGGGGGUGGCGGCUGAUUAGCUAGUCGGAGGGGUAACGGCCCACCAAGGCGAGGAUCAGUAGCCGGGCUGAGAGGAUGGACGGCCACAUUGGGACUGAGACACGGCCCAGACUCCUACGGGAGGCAGCAGUGGGGAAACUUCCGCAAUGGACGGAAGUCUGACGGAGCAACGCCGCGUGAGUGAUGACGGCCUUCGGGUUGUAAAGCUCUGUUAAUCGGGACGCGGUACCGGAAUAGAAAGCCACGGCUAACUACGUGCCAGCAGCCGCGGUAAUAC